rnacentral:tRNA from 1 species
GCCGGGGUUGCAGAGUCCGGCACUGCGGGGGACUCGAGAUCCCCUGCCCGAAAGGGUUCGUGGGUUCAAAUCCCACCCCCGGCG